AGUGAACGCUGGCGGUAGGCCUAACACAUGCAAGUCGAACGGCAGCACAGUAAGUGCUUGCUCUUACGUGUGGCGAGUGGCGGACGGUUGAGGUAUACAUCGGAAUCUACUUUGUCACGGGGGAUAACGUAGGGAAACUUACUCUAAUACCGCAUACGACGUACUGGUGAAAGCCGGGGUUCGUCUGACCUUUCGCGUGUGAUUGAGGCGCUGUCGGAUUACCUAGUUGGGGGGGUAAGGGCCCACCAAGGCGACUAUCGGUAGCUGGACUCAGAGGAAGAUCCGCCACCCUGGAACUGAGACACGGUCGCGACUUCUACGCGGGGCCGCAGUGCGGACUAUUGCGCGAUGGGGCAAAGCCUAAUCCAGCGAUACCGGCGAGAUGAUGAAGCACUCAGGGUUGUAAAACGCUUUUGUUGGGAAAGAAGAGAAGCUCGUUAAUCCCCCGCUGUAAUGACGGUACCCAAAGAAUAAGCCCCGGCUAACUUCGUG
rnacentral:rRNA from 1 species